UGGGGAAUUUUGGACAAUGGGGGAAACCCUGAUCCAGCCAUCCCGCGUGUGCGAUGAAGGCCUUCGGGUGUAAAGCACUUUUGGCAGGAAAGAAACGUCGCGGGUUAAUACCCCGCGAAACUGACGGUACCUGCAGAAUAAGCACCGGCUAACUACGUGCCAGCAGCCGCGGUAAUACGUAGGGUGCAAGCGUUAAUCGGAAUUACUGGGCGUAAAGCGUGCGCAGGCGGUUCGGAAAGAAAGAUGUGAAAUCCCAGAGCUUAACUUUGGAACUGCAUUUUUAACUACCGGGCUAGAGUGUGUCAGAGGGAGGUGGAAUUCCGCGUGUAGCAGUGAAAUGCGUAGAUAUGCGGAGGAACACCGAUGGCGAAGGCAGCCUCCUGGGAUAACACUGACGCUCAUGCACGAAAGCGUGGGGAGCAAACAGGAUUAGAUACCCUGGUAGUCCACGCCCUAAACGAUGUCAAUUUAGCUGUUGGGGCCUUCGGGCCUUGGUAGCGCAGCUAACGCGUGAAGUUGACCGCCUGGGGAGUACGGUCGCAAGAUUAAAACUUAAAGG
rnacentral:rRNA from 1 species